CUAGCCGUAAACGAUGGAUACUAGGCGUAGCGAGUAUCGACCCUCGCUGUGCCGUAGCUAACGCGUUAAGUAUCCCGCCUGGGGAGUACGCGCGCAAGCGUGAAACUCAAAGGAAUUGACGGGGGCCCGCACAAGCGGUGGAGUAUGUGGUUUAAUUCGAUGCAACGCGAAGAACCUUACCAGGACUUGACAUGUCGCGAACCUUCUUGAAAGAGAGGGGUGCCUUCGGGAGCGCGAACACAGGUGGUGC
rnacentral:rRNA from 1 species